GGUUUCUUGAAAUAUUUAAGAGAUUUAACCUGCCCACUGAUAAUUUGAAGGGCCGCGGUAUUUUGACUGUGCAAAGGUAGCAUAAUCAUUAGUCUUUUAAUUGAAGGCUUGUAUGAAUGGUUGGACGAGGUAAUUUCUGUCUUAUAUAUAAWUAAGUUUAAAUUUAAGUUUUAAGUAAAAAUGCUUAAAUGUAAUUAAGGGACGAGAAGACCCUAUAGAGUUUAAUAUAUGAUAUGUUAAUUGAGUUAUUAAGAAAUUUUUGGUUAUUAGUAAAUAUAUUUAAUUGGGGU
rnacentral:rRNA from 1 species